rnacentral:lncRNA from 1 species
GUCUGGCAUUGGACAGAGUAAAAUUGUCUGGCAUUAAACAGAGUAAAAUAGUCUGGCAUUAGACAGAGUAAGAUUGUCUGACAAUAGACAGAGUAAAAUUGUCUGGCAUUAGACAGAGUAAAAUUAUCUGGCAUUAAACAGAGUAAAAUUGUCUGGCAUUAGACAGAGUAAAAUAGUCUGGCAUUAGACAGAGUAAAAUUGU